UCCCUCUUAGCUCAGUUGGUAGAGCGCGUCACUAGUAUUGUCAUUUGGAAUAUUUCAUGACGAGGUCAGUCGUUCAAAUCGGCUAGCGGGAA
rnacentral:tRNA from 1 species